GUCUUACCCACCUCAUCAGAGGCAGGAGAAAGUCAGCCCAAUGGCCCAGCCUCUCCUCUGCAAGGAUUGUCUCCCUCACCUCCUGGAAAAGUGAGCAGCUCCAGCGCUCUCCCAUAGUGCCUCCAGCAUCCAUCAGCCUAGCUGGCGAGUGUGCCCCCACCCCUGCCCCUGACUGUCACCAUCCACUUAGGGGAGAGAGGAACACAGGAGCCAAGAAUGCAGUGGAGCAUGGGCACUCCUCUGUGAUAAACACCCACAAAAAUUAAGCCAUUCUAGAGACGGCAGCGGCUGUUCAUACUUCAAAGGUUGUCUCUUUACACGUCUUCUCUGCCCUCCUUUUACAAAGUUUGAACAAUUCUAUUAAAGAGUUCAGGCCGGGUGCGGUGGCUCAUAUCUGUAAUCCCAGCACUUUGGGAGACUGAGGUGGGUGGAUCACCUGAGGUCAGGAGUUCCAGACCAGCCUGGCCAACAUGGUGAAACCUCAUCUCUAUUAAAAAUACAAAAAUUAGCCUGGCGUGAUGGCGCAUGCCUCUAAUCCCAGCUACUUGGGAGGCUGAGGUAGGACAAUCACUUGAACCUGGGAUGUGGAGGUUUCAGUGAGCCAAGAUUGCACCACUGCACUCCAGCCUGGGCAAUGAGAGCAAAACUCAGUCUCAAAAAAAAAAAAAAAAAAAAGAGGUCAGCAUUGUCUAAAUAUCAAUUAACCUGGGUGAAUAUGAACAUGCGAUCAAAGCGAAUCUUCUUAAACCCCUGAGAAACAGAUUCCUAUUACUGCAUUACAAAGAGAAUUAUGGUAGUGUUGACCAUGGCCUUGUGAAAAAGUCAGACAGUCUCAAAACUGUCAACCAAGAAGGCAGCUCAGUUACCUUUGGGGGCAUCUACAGUUGCAAUUUUGAAUAUUUUUCCAACAUUGUUCUUUCCUGAUUACCUGUCUUAUUAUAUCUGGGUCUUGGCAGGAGAAUACAUUCAUGACUUAAUAGAUCUUUUUAUAUUUCAUUUAGAGACCCUUCCAUUUGACUUAUCAAAGUCAAGUAUAUUUGAUUUCCUUAACACUGUAUUUUAUUAUUAAUUGUAUCUGUGUGUAUCCAUAUUAAAGUCUUCCGCCAGGUGUGGUGGCUCACUCUGUAAUCCCAGCAUUUUGGGAGGCCAAAACAGAAGGAUUACUUGAGGUCAGCAGUUGGAGAGCAGCCUGGCCAACAUGGUGAAGCCCCAUCUCUAUCAAAAAACACAAAAAAUACAAAGUACCAGGAGUGGUGGCACACGACAGUGAUCCCAGCUACUUGGGAGGCUGAGGUGGGAG
rnacentral:lncRNA from 10 species